UACGGGGGGGGCAAGCGUUGUUCGGAAUUACUGGGCGUAAAGGGCGCGUAGGCGGCCUUCUAAGUCGGACGUGAAAUCCCUCGGCUUAACCGAGGAACUGCGUCCGAUACUGAAAGGCUUGAAUCCGGGAGAGGGAUGUGGAACUCCAGGUGUAGCGGUGAAAUGCGUAGAUAUCUGGAGGAACACCGGUGGCGAAGGCGGCAUCCUGGACCAACACUGACACUGAGGAGCGAAAGCCAGGGGAGCAAACGGG
rnacentral:rRNA from 1 species